GGUUCUCUCCGGAGCGCGGGCGAGGGAGGAGGCACCCAGAGGUGCAGCGACUUGCCCAAGCCAUGUCAGAGCCAGGCACACAGCAGCACUUCCCCUUUUCAACCCGACUGCCCGGCCCCUUGGGGAGGGUGGAUGGAGGGAGGUUCGACUCAGAAGCCCCAACGUUGACCAAGAUUCAGACACGAAAAGAGAGAAGAGUUCCAGGCUAGCACAGCGACGCGUUCAUACCCAGACGCCCCCCUCUCCCGCUGCCUGAGCUCCCCCCACCACCGCCAGUACUCUCCCAGAUUUCUCAGUUUGUCUUUCCCUCCACCCCCUGCUUUUCCUUCCUUCUCUCUUGCUCAGCUCACGCCCACCUUAGUUCAAAGCUGAGUAGGAGCCCCACUGUUUUAGUUCCUAGAGUUAAAGCCGAAGAGGAGGGAGGCGCGAGGGGGUGUGUGCGGGGCUCUGCCCUGCCCUGAACUGUUACGGUCCGCCAGUUGCGCUUCGCUCCGCGGGUGUCCGACCAGAGCCCGAGCCUGAGCCCGGGGGCUUUACAGACAGCCUCUUCCCUUCCCACUUCCUGCAGGCGCCCCACGCGUGCGAUCCUCCUGGCCCAGACCCGCGGGAGGAGGCCGCCCCCUUCCCGGCGCACAGGCGGGGCCCCGGGCGCGCCCCGCGUCUCCCCCGCGCGCCUGGGCGGAGGAGCGGGCGCCGCGCACUCAUCGCCUAGGCCGGGAGGGCGGGCUCGGCUCCCCGGAAGAGGGGAGUGGGAAGGCGGCCAAAGGAGCUGAAGGGGCGGGCCGGGCCGGCCUGGGAGGCGACGAGGAGGGGGCGGGCCGGGCUGCGCUCGCUCCAGCCGCGGCUCUAGAGCAGCGGGCGGCGCGGGACCCGGGACCCAGCUUGGCGACGGCGAUCGCGACGCGGGCCCCCAGUGUCUCCCGGUGCCCCACCUCUGGAGUAGCCCCUGCCGCCGGCCUCAGGUCCACCCCGGAAUCCCAGGGACUCGCGGAGCCGAACAGACUCGGGCCGGGUGCAACGGGGUCCCCGGACUGGAGAAGACGCGGGUGGCACCGUGCGAGCUGGAGGAGCCCCGCUGCACUGCGAGGCCUCGGGGGGCGCAGACCUGCAGAGACUGCGGCCAACGGGAAGAAAUAAAGGGAUUAUAGUGCUCUAGUCCACCCAAUUCACAGACUUCUGAGACUCAGACACGAGGAGAGAUAGAGAACCACCAAUCUCUAGAUCAACAAGCAAAGGAGGUGCCAAGGCUGUUUGUCUUCAUUGUGACACUGGAGUCUGGAUGCUGGGAAGUCCAAGAUCAGGGUGCCAGCAUGGUCAGUUCCUGGCGAAGCCUCUCUUCUAGGUUUCAGACUGCGCUCUUCUUUGUUGUGUCCUCGAAUGGCAGAAAAAGGGGUGGCUGUUGGAGGAAGGGAGGAGAGUAAAUGAAGAGAAAGAACUGGAAUAACCCCUUACAGGAAGAAAAAAAAAAAAAAGGUAAGAUUGACCCAGAAACACCCUCUGCUCCACUUCUAGGAGGGAGAGCUGUGAGAAAUGAACACAGAGACAGGGUCGCACAGGGAGUAGGCAUGAACACUCCAAGAUGGCCAAAUUUGCACAGGCUCAGGAGAGGCAGUACGCAACCUGGCUUCUGUCCCAUGGUGGGUGCUGGGGCGAUUUGAGAGCUGUAGGAGGAGACACAACUUUUGGAGCCUGGGCUGUAUAUGAAGAAACGCUUUCCUCCCAUCUGCCUCUUCUGGUCUUGUGUGUCUCCUCAGGAACAAGCUUAGCUGUACACGCUGAGAGUCUUGCAAAAGCUGCAGCCCCACCCAGGAGCAGGGUGGUGGCUGGGGCGAUGGUGGACGCCCUGAAGAUGCCCCAUGGCUACUGAAGGGGCUGCUCAGUUAGUGAACAGAGUGGCGGGCAUGGUUUGUAGCCUAUGGGUGCUGCUCCUGGUGUCUUCAGUUCUGGCUCUGGAAGAGGUAUUGCUGGACACCACCGGAGAGACAUCUGAGAUUGGCUGGCUCACCUACCCACCAGGGGGGUGGGACGAGGUGAGUGUUCUGGACGACCAGCGACGCCUGACUCGGACCUUUGAGGCAUGUCAUGUGGCAGGGGCCCCUCCAGGCACCGGGCAGGACAAUUGGUUGCAGACACACUUUGUGGAGCGGCGCGGGGCCCAGAGGGCACACAUUCGACUCCACUUCUCUGUGCGGGCGUGCUCCAGCCUGGGCGUGAGCGGCGGCACCUGCCGGGAGACCUUCACCCUUUACUACCGCCAGGCUGAGGAGCCCGACAGCCCCGACAGCGUUUCCUCCUGGCACCUCAAACGCUGGACCAAAGUGGACACAAUUGCAGCAGACGAGAGCUUUCCCUCCUCCUCCUCUUCUUCCUCUGCAGCGUGGGCUGUGGGACCCCACGGGGCUGGGCAGCGGGCUGGACUGCAGCUGAAUGUCAAAGAGCGGAGCUUUGGGCCUCUCACCCAACGUGGCUUCUACGUGGCCUUCCAGGACACGGGGGCCUGCCUGGCCCUGGUAGCUGUCAGGCUCUUCUCCUACACCUGCCCUGCUGUGCUCCGAUCCUUUGCCUCCUUUCCAGAGACGCAAGCCAGUGGGGCUGGGGGUGCCUCCCUGGUGGCAGCUGUGGGCACCUGUGUGGCUCAUGCAGAGCCAGAGGAGGAUGGAGUAGGGGGCCAGGCAGGAGGCAGCCCCCCGAGGCUGCACUGCAACGGGGAGGGCAAGUGGAUGGUAGCUGUCGGGGGCUGCCUGUGCCAGCCUGGACACCAACCAGCACGAGGAGACAAGGCCUGCCAAGCCUGCCCACGGGGGCUCUAUAAGGCUUCUGCUGGGAAUGUUCCCUGCUCACCAUGCCCUGCCCGCAGCCACGCUCCCAAUCCAGCAGCCCCAGUUUGCCCCUGCCUGGAGGGCUUCUACCGGGCCAGUUCUGACCCACCAGACGCCCCCUGCACUGGUCCUCCAUCGGCUCCCCAGGAGCUUUGGUUUGAGGUGCAAGGCUCAGCACUCAUGCUACACUGGCGCCUGCCUCGGGAGCUGGGGGGUCGAGGGGACCUGCUCUUCAACGUCGUGUGCAAGGAGUGUGAAGGCCGCCAGGAGCCUGCCAGCGGUGGUGGGGGCACUUGUCGCCGCUGCAGGGAUGAGGUCCACUUUGACCCUCGCCAGAGAGGCCUGACUGAGAGCCGAGUGUUAGUGGGGGGGCUCCGAGCACAUGUACCCUACAUCUUAGAGGUGCAGGCUGUCAAUGGGGUGUCUGAGCUCAGCCCUGACCCUCCUCAGGCUGCAGCUAUCAAUGUCAGCACCAGCCAUGAAGUGCCCUCUGCAGUCCCUGUGGUGCACCAGGUGAGCCGGGCAUCCAACAGCAUCACAGUGUCCUGGCCGCAGCCUGACCAGACCAAUGGGAACAUCUUGGACUAUCAGCUCCGCUACUAUGACCAGGCAGAAGACGAAUCCCACUCCUUCACCCUGACCAGCGAGACCAACACUGCCACCGUGACACAGCUGAGCCCUGGCCACAUCUAUGGUUUCCAGGUGCGAGCCCGGACUGCUGCCGGCCACGGCCCCUACGGGGGCAAAGUCUAUUUCCAGACGCUUCCUCAAGGGGAGCUGUCCUCCCAGCUUCCGGAGAGACUCUCCUUGGUGAUUGGCUCCAUCCUGGGGGCCUUGGCCUUCCUCCUGCUGGCAGCCAUCACCGUGCUGGCGGUCGUCUUCCAGCGGAAACGGCGUGGGACUGGCUAUAUGGAGCAGCUGCAGCAAUACAGCAGCCCAGGACCUGGGGUGAAGUAUUACAUCGACCCCUCCACCUACGAGGACCCCUGCCAGGCCAUCCGAGAACUUGCCCGGGAGAUCGAUCCUGCCUAUAUCAAGAUUGAGGAGGUCAUUGGGACAGGCUCUUUUGGCGAAGUGCGCCGGGGCCGCCUGCAGCCACGGGGACGGAGGGAGCAGACUGUGGCCAUCCAGGCCCUGUGGGCCGGGGGCGCCGAAAGCCUGCAGAUGACCUUCCUGGGCCGGGCUGCGGUGCUGGGUCAGUUCCAGCACCCCAACAUCCUGCGGCUGGAGGGUGUGGUCACCAAGAGCCGACCCCUCAUGGUGUUGACGGAGUUCAUGGAGCUUGGCCCCCUGGACAGCUUCCUCAGGGUCAGUCCAGCCUGGGUGAAGGAGGAGGGUCCUGGGGUCCAGGAAAGCUUCCAGGAGACAAGGUCCUAUAUCUUUGCUUCUUACCACCCCACCUUCCAUGGUCUCUGUCCUUCCUUCCCAGGCCAUUUUCUGAUUCCACACCCUCCCCCUCUCAUGCUGUUGUCUGCUGUGCAGUAUGACGAGGUCUCCCUGUCUCCAGUCACUGACCUCUGCCCCCUGCCCCUGCCCCUCAGCAGCGGGAGGGCCAGUUCAGCAGCCUGCAGCUGGUGGCCAUGCAACGGGGAGUGGCUGCUGCCAUGCAGUACCUGUCCAGCUUUGCCUUCGUCCAUCGCUCGCUCUCUGCCCACAGCGUGCUGGUAAAUAGCCACUUGGUGUGCAAGGUGGCCCGUCUUGGCCACAGUCCUCAGGGCCCAAGUUGUUUGCUUCGCUGGGCAGCCCCAGAGGUCAUUGCACAUGGAAAGCAUACAGCAUCCAGUGACGUCUGGAGCUUUGGGAUACUCAUGUGGGAAGUGAUGAGUUAUGGAGAACGGCCUUACUGGGACAUGAGUGAACAGGAGGUACUAAAUGCAAUAGAGCAGGAGUUCCGGCUGCCCCCACCUCCAGGCUGUCCUCCUGGAUUACAUCUACUUAUGCUGGACACUUGGCAGAAGGACCGUGCCCGGCGGCCUCAUUUUGACCAGCUGGUGGCUGCAUUUGACAAGAUGAUCCGCAAGCCGGAUACCCUGCAGGCUGGCGGAGACCCAGGGGAAAGGCCUUCCCAGGCCCUUCUGACCCCUGUGGCCCUGGACUUCCCUUGUCUGGACUCACCCCAGGCCUGGCUUUCGGCCAUUGGACUGGAGUGCUACCAGGACAACUUCUCCAAGUUUGGCCUCUGUACCUUCAGUGAUGUGGCUCAGCUCAGCCUGGAAGACCUGCCUGCCCUGGGCAUCACCCUGGCUGGCCACCAGAAGAAGCUG